rnacentral:rRNA from 1 species
AUUGAACGCUGGCGGCAUGCCUUACACAUGCAAGUCGAACGGCAGCACGGGUGCUUGCACCUGGUGGCGAGUGGCGAACGGGUGAGUAAUACAUCGGAACAUGUCCUGUAGUGGGGGAUAGCCCGGCGAAAGCCGGAUUAAUACCGCAUACGAUCCACGGAUGAAAGCGGGGGACCUUCGGGCCUCGCGCUAUAGGGUUGGCCGCUGGCGGAUUAGCUAGUUGGUGGGGUAAAGGCCUACCAAGGCGACGAUCAGUAGCCGGUCUGAGAGGAGGACCAGCCACACUGGAACUGAGACACGGACCAGACUCCUACGGGAGGCAGCAGUGGGGAAUGUUGGACAAUGGGCGAAAGCCUGAUCCAGCAAUGCCGCGUGUGUGAAGAAGGCCUUCGGGUUGUAAAGCACUUUUGUCCGGAAAGAAAUCCUUGACUCUAAUACAGUCGGGGGAUGACGGUACCGGAAGAAUAAGCACCGGCUAACUACGUG